rnacentral:lncRNA from 1 species
AUGGAAAACGAGGUUCCACGGACAGAAAUCUGGUUUCGUGAGUCUCUUUACAGGUGUCCAUCCAGCUGGGCCACAGACCUGUCAAAGAGGCACAUUCUAUCACGGCCCCUCCAAUCCUGCGUGAGAAAGAUAAAGGGAAGCUGCGGACUCCCCAGUCCUGGUUCCAAACAACUAAAAUAUACACAGGCCUCCAGCUGGGGGCCCCCCCCGUUAAUCAGUGGAGAGCCUCCGGCAUCCGCGCAGGCACGUAUGGUGUGGAGUGCUCCCUUGGCAGAGUGUGCAAGCCCAGAAAGCUGAAGUGAGCGAGGCGGGAGAUAUUUCAAGAACACAAAACACUGUCUUUUCUCGGAAAGGCUCCUGCGGGCCCCUGGGGAAGGCCGGUGGGCCCGCCUCCUGGGGCUCCCCGUGGGGGAGGCUGUCCCAGUGGGACCGCUCGGGCUCGGUGACCCGUGGGAAAGGGUCUGAUUCCAGGGCUGCGAAACCCCACGUUCUGAGUGAAGGGGCUGCUGACAGAGUCCCGAGGGCCGCUCCGCGGUCUGCAGAGGAGUCAGUGGGCAGGGAGGGUGGACCUGCGGCCCUCGGACGUCCCCCGCGGGCCCUCCCGCAAGGCCACUGUGCUCACCGAGUCCCGGGAGGGAGCACAACGCCCAACAGUGUCCAAGCCGACUGCUCCCUCUGUCCCUGGGAAGCGCGGCGGUCAGGAGCCCUGAAGCCCCAUCCACAAAUGAGCAGCGGGGCGGGGGUGGGGGGGUGGGGGUGGGGGGCUCAGAGCUAACCAAGGGGGCUCUGCAGCAGCCAAACCUCAGGGGGUCUCUCCUGGGGACGUCCUUCACCAUCACCUUCACCAUCACCGGGAGCGCUGUGACCACGAGCAUCAUCACCACGAGCAUCACCAGCACCUCCACCAGCAGCACCAUGGCCACCAUCAGUUUUACACUCUCAGUGUAUGACACGCCUAGGUACCACCAUCUAGAUCAAGUGACAGCAUUUUUAACAUGUUUCAGAGUGUUGUAUUAAGAAGCAGAAUGGGGAUCCCUGGGUGGCACAGCGGUUUGGCACCUGCCUUUGGCCCAGGGCGUGAUCCUGGAGACCCGGGAUCGAAUCCCACAUCAGGCUCCCGGUGCAUGGAGCCUGCUUCUCCCUCUGCCUAUGUCUCUGCCUCUCUCUCUCUCUCUGUAUCUGUCAUAAAUAAAUAAAAUAUUAAAAAAAAAAAAGAAGCAGAAUGUCCCUAGUCCUCAUUCCCAUUCUCUUCCCUGCAUAGAGGCGUCCCUGCCCCGACUUUUGGGCAACUCCCAAGCUUUUUUUUGACCUUGUAUUUUCCAUGUACAAUUAAUAUUCACUGUAAAAUCUUCGUAGGUGGGACUGUACUGUACCUAACCUUUUGCAGUUUUCUGUUUUCUCUCAAUCUGAAAGCAGGAAACAGGAAUUCAGGGGCAGGUGGCAUCUGAACAAUAAAAGUUCAUCCACGCCUCUGAAAGGCUCGUGACAUCCCACUGCAAACACCCCAGCUCACUUCCA